rnacentral:lncRNA from 1 species
AGGGAUUUCUCUCGGACAGAUUGGAAGCAUUGGAGGAGGAAUUUGCUUGGGGGAAGGGAGACGCUCAGGAAGAAAACGAACGUGGGUUAAGCCCUAACUAAGCAGCCGGCACUGCCCAGGGCUGGACCCGCCGUCGUUCGAGCCCUGACAAUCCCUCUAGUGAAAUCGUCCCUCAGUCGAAGGUUGCAUCAGAAUCACCGGCGGAGUUUCCAAAAACUGGGGACUCCCGGCCUUUACUCCUGAGUGAGUG